rnacentral:rRNA from 1 species
GCAUGGUAUUUUUAUUAAAGAAUUUCGGUUAUCGAUGGGGAUGCGUUCCAUUAGUUUGUUGGCGGGGUAACGGCCCACCAAGACUACGAUGGAUAGGGGUUCUGAGAGGAAGGUCCCCCACAUUGGAACUGAGACACGGUCCAAACUCCUACGGGAGGCAGCAGUGAGGAAUAUUGGUCAAUGGGCGAGAGCCUGAACCAGCCAAGUAGCGUGAAGGAUGAAGGCUCUAUGGGUCGUAAACUUCUUUUAUAUGGGAAUAAAGUUUUCCACGUGUGGAAUUUUGUAUGUACCAUAUGAAUAAGGAUCGGCUAACUCCGUGCCAGCAGCCGCGGUAAUACGGAGGAUCCGAGCGUUAUCCGGAUUUAUUGGGUUUAAAGGGAGCGUAGGUGGAUUGUUAAGUCAGUUGUGAAAGUUUGCGGCUCAACCGUAAAAUUGCAGUUGAAACUGGCAGUCUUGAGUACAGUAGAGGUGGGCGGAAUUCGUGGUGUAGCGGUGAAAUGCUUAGAUAUCACGAAGAACUCCGAUUGCGAAGGCAGCUCACUUGACUGUUACUGACACUGAUGCUCGAAAGUGCGGGUAUCAAACAGGAUUAGAUACCCUGGUAGUCCACACAGUAAACGAUGAAUACUCGCUGUUUGCGAUAUACAGUAAGCGGCC